UCUCCCUUCAGUCUCCUAUUCAGGAGGCGAAAUGCAUGCUCAACUGGGUUAUGGUCUGGUGAUUGACUUGACCAGUUUAAAACCUUCCACUUGUUGGCGGUGCUUUUUGGCUCAUUGUCUUGCUGCACAAUGAAGUUCCUCCCAAUUAGAUUGGAUGCAUUUCACUGUAAAGUGGAAGACAGAAUGUUUCUGUAGACUUCGGAAUUCAUUCUGCUGCUACCAUCAUGAGUUACAUCAUCAGUAAAAUUAGUAGGCCCAUUCCAGAAGCAGCCAUACAAGCCCAAGCCAUAACACUACCUCCACCAUGCUUGAAUGAUGAGCUUCUAUGUAUGGAUCAUGAGCAGAUCCAUUCUUUUUUCAUGCUUUGGCCUUUCCAUCACUUUGGUAGAGGUUAAUCUUAGUUCCAGAACUUUCGUGGCUUGACUUUGUAUUUCUUUGCGAAUUCCAAUCUCGUCUUCUGAAUAUUACUGCUCAUGAGUGGUUAGCAUCUUGUGGUAUGCCUUCUAUAUUUCUGCAAGUCUUCAAUGCUUGUGCAAUGGCUCUGAUUGAUUUCCCCAUGUCCUCAGCUUCAGAAUGGCUUGCUUUUCUCCCAUAGGCUGCUCUCUGGUCUUCACAUUGGUGUAUCCUUUUUAACAACAAAUCUAGUCUUCACAGGUAUGCACUGUUAAACUGAUUUUUUAAUCACUUGAUAAAAAUGCGGGUUCAAACAAAAGUUGCCAUGUUCUAAAUUGUUUAACACAUCCAGAUGUAAAAAUGAGGAAAUGAAAGCUGAAAUUCUGAUCUAUCGUUUCAAAUUCCUCUUUUGAUCUCAAACCAAAGGUCUUCAAUGUAGCGUGAAAAAAAUAAAAAAGAAUUGGCCUUGCUGUUCCAGUACUUUCAGAGGGGACAGUGUAUAUAUAGGCCGAUCAGCCUUCAUAAUAAAACCAUUGACAGGUGAAGUGAAUAAAAUUGAUUAUUUUAUUACAAUGGAACCUGUUAAGGGGUGGGAUAUAUUAGGCAACAAAUGAACAUGGGCAGGAAAAAUGGGCAAGCAAUCUGAGCGACCUUUACUAGGGCCAAAUUUUGAUGGCUAGAUGACUGGGUCAGAGCAUCUCCAUAACGGUAGGUCAAAAGGGGUCCAAGGAAGGAAAAUCAGUGAACCGGUGACAGGGUCAUGGGUGCCCAAGGCUCAUUGAUGCGAAUGGGGAGUGAAGGCUAGCCUGUCUGGUUCAAUUCCAUAAAAGAGCUACUGUAGCACAAAUUGCUGAAAAAGUUAACACUGGCUAAGAUAGAAAGGUGUCAGCACACACAGUACAUUGCAGUUUGCUGUGUAUGGGGCUGCGUACCCACAGAAUGGUCAGAGUGCCCAUGCUGACCCCUGUCCACUGCUGAAAGCACCUACAAUGGGCAUGGGAACAUCAAAACUGGACCAUGGAGCAAUGGAACAACGUGGCCUGGUCUGAUGAAUCACAUUUUCAUUUAUAUCAUGUGAACAGCAGGGCAUUCAUGUGGAUGCUAUAACCUAAACAGACCAAGUACACCCCUUCAUGGCAACAGUAUUCCCUAAUGGCAGUGGCCGCUUUCAGUAGGAUAAUGCACCCUGCCACACUGCAAAAAUUGUUCAGGAAUGGUUUGAGGAACAUGACAAAGGGUUCAAGGUGUUGACUUGGCCUACAAUUUCCUCAGAUCUCAAUCCAAUCACACAUCUGUGGGAUGUGCUGGACAAACAAGUCCGAUCCAUCGAGGCCCCACCUCGCAACUUACAGGACUUAAAGAAUCUGCUGCAAAUAUCUUGGUGCCAGAUACCACAGCACACCUUCAGAGGUCUUGUGGAGUCCAUGCUUUGAUGGGUCAGAGUUUUGGUGGCACAAGAGAGAGCUACAAAAUAUUAGGCAGGUGGUUUCAAUGUUAUGCCUGCCAGUGUGUGUGUGUGUGUGUGUGU
ensembl:lncRNA